CAUCAAGAAGCUUUUAACAGCACUAACCUUUUAAGUUAGAGAAGGGGAACCUUCUCCCCCAUGAUGA
rnacentral:tRNA from 1 species